ensembl:rRNA 5S_rRNA 5S ribosomal RNA
UCUGUCAGCUAGCUUGCUGCAAUUCUAACAUGGUCCUAACAUGGCCCACUGAAGCUAAGCGGGGUCAUGCCUGCUCAGUACCUGGAUGGAAGACCACAUGGGAAAGCUAGGUUGCUGCCAGAA